rnacentral:rRNA from 1 species
UUUCCCUCAGGAUAGCUGGCACUCGCUUGAGCGAGUCUCAUCUGGUAAAGCGAAUGAUUAGAGGCCUUGGGGCCGAAACGACCUCAACCUAUUCUCAAACUUUAAAUGGGUGAGAUCUCUGGCUUGCUUGAACGUUGAAGCCACGAGAGAUUUAUUAAAACAAUGGAUCAGAGUGCCAAGUGGGCCAAUUUUGGUAAGCAGAACUGGCGCUGUGGGA